AAAAAGUUAGUUAACUAAUAACAUUAAUAUGUCAUAUUAAAAUUAUUCACAGAAUACUUUUUG
rnacentral:tRNA from 1 species